rnacentral:rRNA from 1 species
GACGAACGCUGGCGGCGUGCUUAACACAUGCAAGUCGAACGAAGCUGCUUACUAGAUCCCUUCGGGGUGACGGUAAGUAGACUGAGUGGCGGACGGGUGAGUAACGCGUGAGCAACCUGCCUACAAGAGGGGGACAACAGCUGGAAACGGCUGCUAAUACCGCAUAAGACCACAUUACCGCAUGGUAGAGAGGUCAAAGAUUUAUCGCUUGUAGAUGGGCUCGCGUCCCAUUAGGUAGUUGGUAGGGUAACGGCCUACCAAGCCGACGAUGGGUAGCCGACCUGAGAGGGUGAUCGGCCACACCUGGAACUGAGACACGGUCCAGACUCCUACGGGAGGCAGCAGUGGGGAAUAUUGGGCAAUGGGGGAAACCCUGACCCAGCAACGCCGCGUGAAGG